ACGGGAGGCAGCAGUGGGGAAUUUUGGACAAUGGGGCAACCCUGAUCCAGCCAUGCCGCGUGAGUGAAGAAGGCCUUCGGGUUGUAAAGCUCUUUCGGCGGGGAAGAAAUCGCUUGGAUUAAUACUCUGAGUGGAUGACGGUACCCGAAUAAGAAGCACCGGCUAACUACGUGCCAGCAGCCGCGGUAAUACGUAGGGUGCGAGCGUUAAUCGGAACUACUGGGCGUAAAGCGUGCGCAGGCGGUUGUGCAAGACAGGCGUGAAAUCCCCGGGCUUAACCUGGGAACUGCGCUUGUGACUGCACGGCUAGAGUACGGCAGAGGGGGGUGGAAUUCCACGUGUAGCAGUGAAAUGCGUAGAGAUGUGGAGGAACACCGAUGGCGAAGGCAGCCCCCUGGGCCAGUACUGACGCUCAUGCACGAAAGCGUGGGGAGCAAACAGGAUUAGAUACCCUGGUAGUCCACGCCCUAAACGAUGUCAACUAGUUGUUGGUAGGGUAAAACCUAUUAGUAACGAAGCUAACGCGCGAAGUUGACCGCCUGGGGAGUACGGCCGCAAGGUUA
rnacentral:rRNA from 1 species